AACGCACAUUGCGCCCCUUGGUAUUCCGAGGGGCAUGCCUGUUCGAGCGUCAUUAUGACCACUCAAGCCUGGCUUGGUAUUGGGGUUCGCGGUCCCGCGGCUCUUAAAAUCAGUGGCGGCGCCAUCUGGCUCUAAGCGUAGUAAUCUUUCUCGCUACAGAAUCCCGGUGGAUGCUUGCCAGCAACCCCUUAUUUUCUUAGGUUGACCUCGGAUCAGGUAGGGAUACCCGCUGAACUUAA
rnacentral:misc_RNA from 1 species